UACGGAGGGUGCAAGCGUUAAUCGGAAUUACUGGGCGUAAAGCGCACGCAGGUGGCUGAGAAAGUCGAUUGUGAAAGCCCUGGGCUUAACCUGGGAAUUGCAGUCGAAACUACUCGGCUAGAGUAUGGGAGAGGAAUGCGGAAUUCCAGGUGUAGCGGUGAAAUGCGUAGAUAUGCGGAGGAACACCGAUGGCGAAGGCAAUCCCCUGGGCCUGCACUGACGCUCAUGCACGAAAGCGUGGGGAGCAAACAGG
rnacentral:rRNA from 1 species